UUUAAUUACUUGCCUACUGGGCAUUCUACUUGGUUCUGCCUUUUAUCAGCUGAAUCAGAACAUAACUUUCUCUCACCACCUCCCUCCCCUACUCCAAAUUGACUUUACCUCCUGAUCCCCUAUUUCCAAAGUGGUUCCAUUAUUCUUCUCAGUGCUCAGCCUUAACAUCUUCGUUUCUGUUUGACUUCUAAUCUCUGGCAUCUCAUAAUUGUGCAGUUACCAAACUCUCCCCCAUGAACUCGAUGUGCUCAUGUGGAUCAAAUGACACAGUAAAAGUGAAAGCACGUUGUAGACUCCAAAUACAAGAGGAUACUGCUCUCUAUUCCUUCAACUAUUUUUCAUUCCUUAUUUAUUUAUUCAUCAUUCAUUUAUUCAUGUAGUUACUCAAGACCUAAGUGUUUUCUUGGAACUGUGUUUGUUACUGAGGAAGCCACAAAUUAAAUAUAAGUCUGCUCUUCAAGAGGUUACAUUCCAGUUAAGGAGAUUGCAUAUCCAUAUUUCCAGAAGUACCAAUGUGAUUGAAGCAAGGGAAAUUGCUAUGGGAUAUCUGACCAACUGGAUAUUCUGCUGGAAGAGCAGAAUGCACUUCAAAGACUAGCCAAUAAAACUCUCAUGGGCUCCUGACACACUGACCUCUGUCAGUUCCUUCAGCACACCAGGCUAAUCCCCAGUCUUGCGCCUUUGGACCAGAGGUUUUCUUUGCUCAGAAUACUGUUUCAACAGAUCUUUGCAUAGCUGGCUCUCGCUAUUUGACUAAAAUGUCAAUCCUCAGAGAGGUACUCCUUAAAUAUCCAAUCUUAAGUAGCAUCCCUUUCUCCCAGGAUCCUGUUUUUCAGAACUCUGUUUUCUUUUUAAAACACUUGUUAUCUGAAAGGAUGUCGUCUGCUUGCUUGUUUGUUCAUUUCUUUAUUGUCUAUUCCAUCUCACCCCUUCUCAGGAUGUAAGCUGUUUAAAGGCAAGGACCUUAUCUGUGUUACAUGCUGUAUUCCCAGGGCUCAGACAGAGCAUGACCUAUCGUAUGUACUAAAUAAAUAUCUCCUCAUACU
rnacentral:lncRNA from 10 species